AACGAACGCUGGCGGCAUGCCUAACACAUGCAAGUCGAACGAGACCUUCGGGUCUAGUGGCGCACGGGUGCGUAACGCGUGGGAACCUGCCCUUAGGUUCGGAAUAACUCCCCGAAAGGGGUGCUAAUACCGGAUAAUGUCUUCGGACCAAAGAUUUAUCGCCUUUGGAUGGGCCCGCGUUGGAUUAGCUAGAUGGUAGGGUAAAAGCCUACCAAGGCGACGAUCCAUAGCUGGUCUGAGAGGAUGAUCAGCCACACUGGGACUGAGACACGGCCCAGACUCCUACGGGAGGCAGCAGUGGGGAAUAUUGGACAAUGGGCGAAAGCCUGAUCCAGCAAUGCCGCGUGAGUGAUGAAGGCCUUAGGGUUGUAAAGCUCUUUUACCCGGGAUGAUAAUGACAGUACCGGGAGAAUAAGCUCCGGCUAACUCCGU
rnacentral:rRNA from 1 species